UUUGUACUUGUUAUAUUUUACAUUAAUUUACUUGUUGUUUUAUAAAUCAAAAUACUUUUAUUUCUGGUUCUACCUGCGGCACCAAUAAAGGAUUUCAGUCCAGUCUACGAAUAGGAACUAUGGUGAGAUAACUUAUUCUACGAUUUCAAGUCCCAAUCUUUGUACAGACAUCGUUUUGGAGUCUCCAGAUAUUCCGAGUUCUCACUUGUGGCAAGGCUGUAUUUCCUUCAUACCAGCUAAUGAGCAGCAUAUUGUUCUUUAGAAUCCAACAACAUUUUUUCAGGAAGUAGGUAAUAAGACAUCUGAAUUUGUAUAACUCCAUUUUUCCAGAUAUGAGUUACAAAGGUAAUUGGAUCUUUUUACUUGCUGCUCAAGAACAGAACGAUUAGGAGGCAAUAAACUAUCUUCAAAACCUGAAAGGGUUAGUGUGCACAAUACGAACUUUGACGAACAUACCUACUUUUAAUGUUUUUAAAAAUAUUUUUUGAAGAAGGUUUGCAUGAUCUAUUAAAAACCUUGCCCUUUGUUUUAUAGAUUUUGCAAACAAAUUGUUCUAUUUUAACAAAAUAUUCUUCAGAAAUGUUUGUAGACCUUCGGAAUUUGGAAAAAAAACUUCUUGAAAGGGUUGUAUUUUUUCUUUUCGGAAAAAUGCUGGUGUAAAAUCACAGCCAGUGAAACUAUAAAAACCAUCAAGUGCAGUGCAAAGGUCUGGGCCCAAUUUCUCAUAGACCAAGUUUAUGCUUACGAGCCGCAGUGUGUUUUUGGACUUGAGCCAUACUUCUUUUUGAAUAAAUCCACUCUAGCAGUGUUGACAUCAUUAUUAUUGUUAUUAUACAUCUGAUUGGUAAAUUUUUGAAGCAAUUUCAUUUUUUGCAGAUCACUAAUAUGUUUGGGGUCAGUUAGCUCCGCAAAAGUUUUUUUGUAGGCGGGGUUUGAACUUAGGAGUGAAAACGGCUUCAUUUUCCAUUUUCCUCUAAAAGCAGCGUUAUAGUCACACCCCGUAAAGGCAUGUAGGAAUGGGAGAGUCUUGCAGAUCUCUGACCUUGAUUCUGAAAACAGUUUAGUACAAUUAAUAUGAUGUAGAUUGCGUUAGCCAAACUUCUUUCGCUGGAAGGACAUCCAUAAGCCCUAGAAGGAUGACUAAAACAUCCGUGUCGGUGGCGUAAAUAAGUGCUCUACGCUAAGCACACAUUUUGUAAAAGUGAAAGAAAAUACGCGUGUCAGCUUCUUCGUGGAAACAUUCCAGUUGAGGCUCUAUGGUCUUAGUGACCGCGGUUCCUUGUACUUCGAAAGAGAAGCAUGAUUCUCCAACUGUCAAAAAGAUUUGUUUAUCUAUAUAAUUUCCUUCAAAUUAUUUUGUUCCCAGUAUUGGAAGUUUAUAUAAGAACACACUCCAUCCUUUCGUUUGUAACCAAUUUCAUCCCUUAGCUCGACAAGUCCAGGGUCCACAGUCGGUCAACACAGAAAAAAGGAAAAAAAAGAGAAAAAUAAAAUCAAAUCGUGUUAGUAGUAUCGGGUCCUAAAAUGGGCUACGUGACCAAACUGCCAAGCUUUGACUUGGAAGACCUCUGAAAUAUAAAAGUAGACAUUCUAACCUUCGAUUUGACAUCUUUUUCAUACUUAAGUUUGAAAACAAUAAUAAUGCACAGCAUACUUUUUGAUUAAUUGCUCAAAAAUAUAGGUAUUUUUUGACAUUGUAUGGGUCUAUUUUUAGAAAUUUUUAAUCUAUUCCUAAUAUUUUUUAUGGAUUUAGUAC